rnacentral:lncRNA from 1 species
AAAUGUUUGGAAUCCUCAAUCUAUUAGAAUCUGGAUCAGGUAGAAUAAGAGUGACAGUCUUAUCACCUCUAUUAGGUGGAGAACCAUUAUCUAUCUAGGUUGAGAGGUGAGGUAGUGAUAGAGAAACAUCCCAUGAACUUGGAUUUGUUGCGGUUUACCAGUUAGACAUAAAGAUUGAUUAAUCUAGUGAGCAUGGUUAACAAUAAGUGAAGAUACGUGUUCUCGAGAUACGAGUUACAUGGAAUGGGAAUAGGAUAAUUAUGGGUGAGAUCUUUUGUUGGGGUCAUUUAUGCAUUGAUUGUAUGUGUUGG